CGUAGGAAACGCCAUAUAUAAAUAAGAAAUAUGAAUGUGGGAUGAGCAAAAAUUCGACAAGGAAGCUGGAAAAGUAUAUAUAGUAAAAGUAGAGAAAGGAUUCCUGAAAAUAAAAAGUGACGACGGAAACGACAAACGGCAGCAUACGUGGUUUCCAGGCUUUCGAGGUACGUCGUUAGCAUCAACGAACCACCACAUUGGGCGGUGGGUCUCCAAAUCCUAAGUACGUACCUUUUCAUUCCACAUUUUGAUCUGUACUGCAUCUGCCGAUGCACCCACCGUAUUUAUGUUUCCCAGACUAUCUAUAUUUUAACAUGCACGUGGAACAAUCAACGACAUGCAGUUUCAAUUUUUUCCCCACAAGGUUGUUAUAUGCAUCAUGCAUACAUGCCUGCGUAGCGUACGAUGAUCAGCCCAAUGGGCAAUGGGGAUUGGAACAAGUAAUUAGGCAUGAUUGAUGUCAGUUUCUUAACCAAUAACAAUUCGUUUUGAACUUAUUUCGAAACCUGCAGGAAAGCUAGCCAAAGAUGUGGAAUUUCCCCGAAUCCAUUUAGCUUAGCAAAGGGUUUACGUCCGUUGUAUGUUGAAGCUAAGGAAGGUUGCAGCUGAAGCAAUUAAUAAUCCAGCAUGCAAAAUAAAUUCGACAAUGCGAAAACUUGCAACGUACAAAACGAAGAAGUAGGUACAAAUGUUGGUAUUGCUUGCAAUGGUGAAGGUGGUUUAAAGGGACAUCGGUUACGUACAUAAGACCGUAGUCAUAUGAACAGGAUCAGUUUCUGCCUAUGAUUUAUGGCAAUCUAUGAUCACUUUUUAUUUAGUUCCAAGCUAGACUAUAAUUUUUUAUUUUCUUUCACAAAAACCAUCGACUUUUGUAUUUUCGGAGAAUAGAAGUGUAGAAACAUACAAGACACCCCAUCGGAGGUGCAGACCUUGCGAGCAAGACUACAUGGAUCGCGGGUCCUCACAAGUAAGUGACCUCAAUCCUUUCUCUCCAAUCUAAAAGGCUUACAAUUUCAAAGGUACUACCAAACUAACAAGGAAGAAACUAGCAAGAAAAAACAACCCGAAGUUGAAAACCUAGCGAACAUGAAGGACAACAUUCUUAUUAGGCUAUCACCGAGCGAGGCUAGGACCUCGGCUAACCUGG
rnacentral:lncRNA from 1 species